ensembl:lncRNA
CUCAAAAUUCUGGCUUUUAUGACAUGCCAUUCAUUUUGAAAAAAAUAAUGAAAGCAUUUCAGACUUGCCCCCUGCCAUGCAGAGAGUUAGUGAUCUCGUACCUCGUUGAGUCCCCCAGACCGCUGGUCUUCAGAUUUUCUCUUUCUUGAGAAGAACGCCUCCACCCACUGGCUCUCCCACCAGCAAUGCUGCUUCCACCACACACCAGCACAAAGCACAGAUUGCUGCCCAGCUCCUUGGAGAGGGGCCAGUGCAUUUGUCAGGAAUUGAAAAGUUUUGGAGCCAGUUUGAGGACUUUCUGGUACACAAAGCGUUGGCUGGAAAUGUGGUGCACUAAAAUCUACGUCCUGUCCUUUUGUCCACCGUGCUUUCUCUACUGCAUUUGCCCUCAGUGACCCGAUUGCCUCCAUUGUAACUGAAGGUGGGGGUCCAGCUGCUUGCUGCUCAACAGCCAAUAAGGAGGCAAGGCAAUCUUUCUGACCCAGGGUUCGAAGCCACAUCUCCUGCAUUAGCAGGUGGAUUAUUUACUGCUGAGCCACGUGGGAAGCAUACUACUGCCCUUGGCUAGACCUGACAGUAAAGAAUCUGCCUGCAAUGCCAGAGACCUGGGAUCCAUCCCUGGUUCAGGAAGAUCCCUUGGAAAAGGAAAUGGCAACCCACUCCAGGAUUCUUGUGGGAGAAUUUCAUGGACAGAAGAUCCUGGUGGGCUGCAGUCCAUGAGGUUGCAAGGAGAUGGACAACAACUGAGUGACUAACACUGAGCUACCUGGAAAGUUGAGUUCUGGAGAGUCCAGAGGAGUACUUAGCCUAGGGCAGUUAUUUCGCACUAGCGAGGCAAGCACUCUUUACAGUGCUCUGUGAAUUGUGAGAUUUUCAGUCUUGCUGGUGGGAAUAGGCACUCUCCCAGCCCUGUAUGGGCACAAGGCAGGGUUUUCUCUAAUCCUUGGGUCAAUUCUUUCACCAUCCUCAGGUAGUUUCAUCCCAGGCCUGUGCUGAUAAGUACUCUGCUAAAUUCUCCAGGGCCCCUCUACAGAUCUCCAGGGUUCUUUUCCUGUGCAGCCAUUUCCUCUUCAGCUCUCUGUCUUGCUGUUCUAGCUGCCUGCCUGUAUCUCCCCACAUUCCUCUCUGUCUCCUCAACUGCGGGUUUGGGUGGGCUCUGCCUGGGUGCCCUUCUCCCUAUACUACAGACUGAAAACACUCUCAAAGCCCAAAUACAUGGCAGUUGUAGGGCUCAGUCGUUCCCAUCACUGAGGGAUCACUGUCUAUUGCCUGAUAUGUAAUGCCUUGAAAACCAUUAUUAUUGUCCAGUGUUUUUAGUUGUCUCAGGCAGAGAUUCAACAUGAUCGUUUUCUACUCCAUCUUGGUAAGAAGUUAUGUCAGCCUAUCUUUUUGCUCAUUUAGGGGCUUUGUGUUGGGGACAAAGAUUCAGGACCCCAAAACUGAAUGUUAUGAUUUGAACUAGGAAACCUGAUGAGUCUGAAGUUUUCUCAACCUUCGGGACCUAUGUGCACUUGCUGGGAAUAAGAAAUGGAUGGUUUCUGGCAGAAUUGGGGUGUACAAAGAAAGUGUCUAGAGAGUCUGUCCUGGUAAUACUGGCCUACCCAGUGAUCCCAGUUCCAUUCUGUAGCACUCAGGGAUAAAGCUAUAUAGAGGGCACUCCAUGGACUUGCUCUUAUAGUAACAAAUAGGACCUACCAGGGGGUGGUCCCAAGAUGGAGGAGGAAUAGGACCGGGAGACCACUUUCUCCCUAACAAAUUCACCAAAAGAUCAUUUAAAUGCUGAGAAACUUCCACAAAACAAUUUCUGAACGCUGGCGGAGGACACCAGGCCAGAAAGGCAGCCCAUUCUCUUCGAAAGGAGGUAGGACAAAAUAUGAGAGACAAAAGAGAGACAGAGACCCACCCUGGGGUGGGAGUCGUAAAGGAAGAAAAGGUUCCAAACAGUAGGAAACCCUCUCACAGGCAGGUCUGUGGGGAGUUUUGGAAUCUCAGAGGGCAACAUAACUGGGAGGAAAAAAAAAAAAAACACAGAGUACGCGCCCAACUGCAACUGCCAACAGAGAAGUAGCCCAGUAAGUAAGCAUCUUACUUACUUAUGUCUGCCAUCAGUAAGCAGGGGCUGGACAGGGAGGCAGGGGCUGCAUUGCUUAGGGUAUGGACGGGGCCUGGAUGCCCUGAGGACAAUCAGAGAGCUAAUGUGAGAUAGCAACCCAAACUGUGGGAUCAUGAGAGAGGAAAAAAAAAAAGAGAACUUUCCUGCAAUAAGCUCUGAAGUGUAGCCUGACUUGCUCACAGGACAAAGGAUUGAGCAAAUACCAAAGGAGAGCUAUCCAUCUGCGUACAAGGCCCCUCCCUCCCACCCUGCCGGAGGCAGAGAGGCAGGCAUGUGACAGCCAGAGCCGAAGGCAAGAGGCAAUCUCGGGUCC